rnacentral:lncRNA from 1 species
AGUAGCGGCCGCUCCGGGGCCCGCACGGAGCUCGCGACCCGCUUGCGCGGCGGGAGGCAGCCCCGGGCAGGGACCCCGGCCUCCUCAGCGGGCGCUCCCGGCGCUGAGAUGCCCCGAGGGGGCGGUGGCCGCGAGCCGAGCCCGGGUGGAAGCGCGUCGCAGCGGACGCGGGCGCCCCUCGCCACCUCAGUGACCCUUUGGGAGCCGGGACCGGAGCCCCGCAGGCGGCGGUGCGGGCCCGCGGGGGCGGCGAGGUCCGUGCCCCUAGCGUCCGGAGCGGGCGCAGGCUGCUGAGCCUCGGCUGGGCUCGUUGCCUCCCGCCUUUCCCCCCAGCCCCCCGCGAGCUGGCAGGAGGAAAUAGCGCGCGGCCCCUUUAAAUUUACCCAGGAGCCCUUAAAGGAGCCCCAGGGGCCCCAGACAGGAAUCCCCACCCCGGUCCAGCCCGCGCCGCCGAGCGAGCAGCCUGCCGUCCGUGCGGCCGGCCGCCCCGUGCAUGCGCCCCGCGCCCCGGGGCCCCGCGCAGCGAGCGCUCCGCGCGGGCUGCCGCCGGCCCCGCGGCCCCGCGCCCCGCCGCCCCGGGGCCCCGCUCCGCAGCGCAGCGCAUGGAGCCCGGCGGGGACCACCGGAGCCGGAGCAGCGGCGGCAGGGGCGGCCCCGGGCCAGCAGUGGCCUCGGCACGGGGCCGACGGCUGCCGCCCGCCGGAUCGAGCGGCAGCGCGGAGCCAGAGGAAGACGAAGGCGGGCAAGAUCUUCAGCUGGAAGGGGGUGCCUUGGGGUCCUGGGGGAGUGCCCCCCUGCCCUCCUCCAGGGCCAGGGGACCAGCAUCUUCAGGCAGGAAAUAUUCAGACCACUGUGAGGCCCGGGCCUCGAGGCCUGGAAAGAGCCGCAUCCCUGGCCGUGACCACCGGCGCUACUACCACGACCACUGGCGGCUGGAGUACCUGAUGGACUUCAACCCUGCCCGGCACGGCAUGGUGUGCAUGGUGUGCGGCAGCUCCCUGGCCACCCUCAAGCUCAGCACCAUCAAGCGCCACAUCCGCCAAAAGCACCCCUACUCCUUGCAUUGGAGUCCCCGGGAGAAGGAAGUCAUCAGCAACAGCUGGGAUGCACACCUGGGGCUGGGGGCCUGCGGAGAGGCCGAGGGCCUGGGGGUCCAGGGGGCUGAGGAGGAGGAGGAGGAGGAAGAAGAGGAGGAGGAGGAGGGGGCCGGUGUCCCAGCUUGCCCGCCCAAGGGCCCAGGCGACGUUCCGCUGUCCCCUGGAGCUCCCUUGGAGCGGCCCGCCGAAGAAGAGGAGGACGAAGAGGACGGCCAGGAGCCUGGGGGACUCGCCUUGCCGCCGCCGCCUCCUCCCCCGCCUCCGCCCCCGCCCCGCAGCCGGGAGCAGCGGCGGAACUACCAGCCGCGGUGGCGGGGCGAGUACCUGAUGGACUACGACGGCAGCCGGCGCGGCCUGGUGUGUAUGGUGUGCGGGGGCGCGCUGGCCACGCUCAAGGUGAGCACCAUCAAGCGCCACAUCCUGCAGGUGCACCCCUUCUCCAUGGACUUCACGCCUGAGGAGCGCCAGACUAUCCUGGAGGCCUACGAGGAGGCGGCGCUGCGCUGCUACGGCCACGAGGGCUUCGGGCCGCCCGCCCCGGCGCCGCGUGACGGCGGCGCGGACCUCAAGUCUGGCGCUGUGUGUCGGGCGUAGCGGCCUAGCGGGCCCCCGGGUCAGGUCGGGUCGGGUCGGAUCGGCCCCGCCCCGCCCUGUGCUCGCCCGGCCCUUCGGCUGGGAGACCCUCGCGUCCGGUGUUAGCGCUUCCCGCGGCCGCGCCCCCCGCUGGCCGGGCCGGGCGGAGACGGGGGAUCGGGUGGGGCCACCGGCGUCUGCGCGGUGCCACUUGGGUCCCUGAGCCAGUCGGUGCGCUGCGGGAAGCGCACUCUCCCAUCGGCCCGGAGCCCUGCCCUCCCCGCGCAGGGCCCACGUUUUCCGAGAAUCCUCAGUGGCCUCCACGUGUUAGCGCCGAGCGCUCCCGGCCGCACCCCGCGAGGGGGUUCUCCGCAGGCCGGGACUGGGGGCGCCGUCAGUCAGUAUUAGGGCCGAAGGGGGGCCGUGCGGGCUCUGGCUCUGGCCCUGGCUGGGGGCCCAGUUCCCUGCAGCCUUGCACGCUGGCAGGCACGGCUCCCGGCUUGGGGGCUGCUGGCUGCCCUUCCCUAAUUGGGAUUCUCGGCCUCUCGGAGGCCCCGGCUGCGGACUGGGGCUUCCAGCGGGAGGCUGGGCCGCAGGGCUCGGGAGCCUUCCCGGGGUGGGAAGGCGCGUUGGACCGAGGGCGGGGCUACGCGCCCGGGGCCCGGGCUGGACCAGCUGCGCUUACCUCCCCGGCAGGCUCAGUGAGAACCGUGCGCCCGGCGGCCCCACUCUCCUCCCAGGCCGCUGCCACGCCCUCCAGGAAAGCUCUUGUAAAGGGAUUAGCACUUUUUUCCUUUGCUCCUCUUGCCCCGAGGGUCUCUGCUUACCCCUAAACCAAGUCCGUGGGAGCCCGGGGCACAGGCGGUCCCGGCAGUCAGCCUUCGAUUCCCGCCCCAUCCCCAUCCCCCUUUGUCCGCGGUGGAUGCGGCGUCCGUUCUCAACCCGCAGGGCCUGGGGCCGGGCCUCGGCCUCUUUUCCCCGUGGCAGCCGCAGGCCCUGUGUGGCAGGGAUGGGGCCCCGCGAUCUCCCAGGCAGGUCCGAGAGGGAUGUGUAGAUUCAUUCUCCUGUGGAGAACAGGUGGCCCCGAGAUCAGGCCCUUUUUUGCUCUUUGUAUUUUAUUUUGAAACUGUAUUUAAUGCUUUUAUAUGAAAGGGGGAGGGGCGGGGACAGAGCUGACCCAGUCACCCUUAUGUGCAAAUGUCUUAUUUAUUAUGCGUGUAUCAGAGAUAAGCUGUGAGGUGGUGGAGGGAGGACCUGAAGGAAGGAGGAGCGAGGGCAGAGGCGGGGACGGGAGGACCCCAACUAGCUGUGCUGAUGUUAAUCCCGCUGGGAGACUCCGGGCCCUACUGUCUGCUCUUCACAAAGCCAGGCUGCUGCAGGAACAGUUCCCGCGGUCCUAAAGCCGGGGCGGGGAGGCUAGUGGGUGGAACUUGAGGGUUGGGUCUGGAGGAAGAGAUGCCUGGGCAGCGUGGUCCAGCCCCUGCCUCGGGGUGGAAAGGCAGAGAGCAAAGAGGAGGCCCCUCUUAUUCCGGACCCCCAGGCCAGAGCCCAGGAGUGGGAAAGCAGAGGGCAAAGAGGAGGCCCCUCCUCUCAUCCCUGACCCCCAGGCCAGAGCCUAAGGUUCAAGUGCCUCAGGCCCAGUCCCCUUGACGCUUCCUGUUUGGGAGUUGGAUUUUAUACCACGGAUUUUAUAGCAUUUUUAUAUAAUUGAGGAUUGUCAGAAUUGGAAAGGGCCCUGGAGAUCACUAGUACUACCCUCCUCACCUUCACAGAUAGGUAAAUUGGAGCCCAGGAACCGAGAUGAUCACACAGCCAGGUAGGGACAGUACAAGAACUAGAAUGAAAAUCCUAGCUCCUGACUCAGUGUUCUUUGCACGAUGCCACACUGCUUCCCAAUUCGCUGGUCAGUUAUUAAAAUUUGUCAGGCCUGCCGAAGGAUUGACAUGCUGGGCAAUGCAGGCCACCACGGUGGAUCUGUGACUCCUGAAGGUGGCAAAGCCCUGCACACUGCCUUGGGAUGAGCACACUGAGCUCUGCAGGGCCUCAGCUGGAAGGCGCCAUCCAAUCGUCCUUCCCCUCCCCAGCAGAACUCCAGAGGUGGGGCGGCUGCCGCAGGGCCCAAGGCUGCCUCGGCAGGGGGCUUUGUGCUUUUUGUUGUGGAGGCCACCAGGGAUUCAGGAAGAUCCUGAAUGGGUUGUCAAUUGACUGAAAAGUAAAUUCCCAGUGAGUUUGAACCUCCACGGUUUUUGAGACAGUAUUAAAAGCUUGAGAACGGAGAUUAUGGAUGGCACCAGGCUGGGCACUGCCAUUCUUUUACUUUCCUUCAUGCAUUUUUUCGGAUCCAGAGUAUUAACACCACUUUUUUUACUCUGCCCAUUCAAAAACAGUAGGCAAAUUGGGGGAACCAAUUUAUAAUCACUCAAGCCCACUGCCAAAGUUCGGAUAAGCCAGGGCAGAGGGGUUAGAUUCCCCCCCCUCCGUAGGCAGAGAGAGGCCUCAGGAGAGUGGACAUCUUUACUGAGACAGCCCCAAACACACCAGUGGCUCUCAAAGUGUGUCCCUGAGACCAGCAGCAUCACCUUAGGAAUCUGCUAGAAAUAAAAAUUCUUGGGCCAUACCCCAGGGUUACUGAAUCAGAAACUUGGUUGGGGCCUAGCAGUGUUUUCAUGAGCCCUCCAUUGAUCUUGAUGCAGCUGAAGUGCCGGGCACCAGUGAAAGGGAAGGGCUGCGGUAGUGAUUCCAUUGAUUCCUGCUUUGAUGGAAGUUAUGGCCUCACAGGUUAGACGUUGCAAGUUGAGUUGGCCCUCUUGCCUAGGUGUGCCUCCUUGCCUUGGGAUUCUGACAUGAACAGGUGAAGUCUCUUCAUGAUUUUUUUUGUUGUUGUUGUUAAUGGUAUGCUUGCUAUUAUGGCCAAUAUGUAAAUGUUACUCUGAAUACAUAUUUAUAUACCAUGUUACUUAGUGACAUUAUUCAAACAUUUGUAUGCGUAUUUGUGAAAUUGUUUGCAUCAGUCAUUUAAAAAAUAUUUCAGCCUAAGUUUUCUAAGAGGUAUGUUGAAUACAUUUUUAAAAGCCAGCUUAAGGGUCACAGCAGCCUUAGUUUAGGAGAAGAGCUAAUCACAGGUGACCACUCAAGUUCUUUCAAUGAAGACCUGAUGAUGUAUUUAGUUCCCAUUUUCCACGGUGAUUGACUCAAUUUAAGUGUAUUGUGGCUAUAUGUAAUUUACAGGCUGCUUUGCGUUGCAGGUGGGAAAAUCUCCCAGGCUGGUGUGAGGCUGAACUGGGGUAAAAGACCCCCUGACCCCUCCUCAUUCUUCUAAGGUCACCACCUCUUAGAGGGUCUCUUAUUUUCUUUCAGAGAUCAAAUGCACAGUUAUGCUGUACAACUAAAUUCUGCAGUCUUGGGAAUCCUUACGAGUACCAACUAUUAGUCACUUUUUAAAGUCCCCAAAGUGGAGUGAGGAUAGGGGGAGUGGAAGCAGUGUUUGGUUCUUACUUUACCCAAACUGUGUAUAAAGAAUAAAGUUAGCAGAAUGAUGCCACAGUCAUUGUUUGUGUUUUUUUUUUUUUUAUUAAUACCACAUCAAUUUGAAAUUUUACAGGAACCAAGAUUCAAGCUCCUUAGGUGCUACUGUAUUUUUAUGUUGCACGCACAGACACGUACACACAGUUUCAUUAGUAAUUUUUCAUCUAUAGGUUUUUCUUAAAAAAAAAAAAAAAUCCUGUGUGGCACAAAGAUCUCUUCAAUUAUCUAAACACAGCAGCAACAAAAGAAAAGAACUGGAUGUGGCACUUCCACUGCAGAAGGUCCUUUGGAGGGGAAGCCCAAAAAGACAAUCACUGACUUCCUGGGAGGGCAGAGGAUGAGGAUGGAGAAUGCACUUCCUACUAGGACAUGAAACCAGUUAAAACACUCAAAGGGGGCUAAGAAAAUAAGAUGGAGUAAGGCAAGGGUACCUUUUACCCAUCCAAAUUCCUAACUAAUUUUUCCAAGACACGUAGACAAUUUCCUUCCACUACUUUUUGCAGCUGCCGUACUUUGGGACCAUCAAAUAUCAUAGCCCUUACUUUAAACUCGCCAGUGCAUAUUCCCUCUGAAGGAUCAUGACUAUGAGUGAGAACCUGAAGGAACUCACAGAUGAUUUUUCUUUCAAGUUCGCUGAAUUCUCAUAUUGAAGGUGAAGAAAAAAACUUGCCCCCAAAUGGGAAUCGGAGAUUUGAAUCUCGGGAAAAGAUCAAGAAAAAAAGGCUUUCUGUAUUUCACCUCUUGAGAAUGUUCCCCCCCAGACUGAGAUAGGAUCACAAAAACUCAAUAACUGAGGAGCCCACAUGCAGGUUAUUUUUUUCUCUAACAAGUUUACAGCAGUGCACAGCAGUUACAGACAUUUAUUUUAUAGUAAGAAAAGUACAACCUUAUUUAUUAAACUUGAGGUGGGCAGGGGAGAGGGAGGAAAGCACAUUCGGGAACGAGUUCUCAAACUAAUGCUCAGAACCGGUGUCCAGUGACGUAGAAACCACUUUCCCAAAUGGCGGAGCCUUUCCUUCCCUGGGGAUAGUGGCAGAGGGAGUGACCGCCACCGCAGCAUGCCUGCUGACUCCCUCUCAGUCCCACUUUCCAUUUCUAUUCUUUUUUAUCAGAUGGCAUUCUUGGAAUCAGGAAUUAUCACUAUCACCUAUAAGUUAUUUAUCAAGUUGAUAGUUAAAUCAUUAAAGAAAAGGAGUAUCAGGGGUAGCUGCUCACAUUGUGGGGCAGGAAGAUAGGAUUUGAGGGCUGCAAAAAAAAACCAAGGAAGGUAUCACACUCCUGUCCCCAAAUAAUUUUUUCAUAAGUUAAUCAUGACUUCUUAAGGGCAAAACUAUAAUGGAUAGCUGAGUAAGACUAGUGCUGAAAACUGGACAGAAGGACCCAGAGGUGUUCUUUCAUUUUCUCUCUUACCUCCAAUCUUUCCCCUUUCAAGCUACAGGUAAAGGCUCUACCACCAUUAAGGUAUUGACUUAUCCUAUGAAUUUGAUUCUUUCUUCUUCUGAGUUCUAAGAUAGUUCUUUUAUCAGUCCAUCAAUUUUUGUGCUUGAUACUGAGGGUUAAAGGGAAAGGAUGGGAGAAAACACCAAAUUAAAAAAAAAGCUUGGAAUGCAGGCUCAAGCUGACACUGAGUAUUUUCCUUCAUAGUACAAGUAACGACGUUAUAACUAUUAAAUGGUGUUUUAGUAACUGUUGCAUUUCUGGUUUCCAUGUACUUAUUCUGCCUUUUUUUUGGCGAUUCCAGGGAGUUUUGCUUGGAUCCUAUUGAGAAAAGGAGGGGAAAAAGAAAGAAAGUGAAAACAUUAGCAUUUGCUCUAGGUUUUUAUUUUAACUGUGAUGCUAGAGGACAGUCCUGGACUUGCAUAAGCAAUGUGAAAUGCAUUCUCCCGGCUGGGUAUGGUGGCUCACGCGUGUAAUCCC